UACAGAGACCUCGAGCGUUAUCCGGAAUCAUUGGGCGUAAAGCGUACCGAUAGGUUGGUUAUGAAAGUCAGAGGUGAAAUUACCAGCUUAACUUGGUAACUGUCCUUUGAAACUUCAUGACUUGAGGGGCAAAGAGGAAGGCUGGAACAAACGGUGUAGUAGUGAAAUGCGUUGAUAUCGUUUGGAACACCAAUAGCGUAGGCAGGCUUCUGGGUGCCACCUGACACUGCUAGGACGAAAGCGUGGGGAGCGAAGUGGG
rnacentral:rRNA from 1 species